rnacentral:tRNA from 1 species
AGGGACAUGGCUCAGCAUCAGGGCACAUGCCUUGCAGGUAGGAGGCCCUGGGUUCGAUCCCCAGUAUCUCAG